rnacentral:RNase_P_RNA from 1 species
GAAGUUGGUCAGACAGUCGCCCCGAUUUUCAUCGGGGAGGAAAGUCCGAACUCCGCAGGGCAGGGUGCUCCGUAACACGGAGUCUUCCGUUUACACGGUUGAAGGAAAGUGCCACAGAAACGAUACCGUCCCGACCUUAGUCGGGAUAAGGGUGAAAUGGUGCGUCCCGCAAUUAAGCGGGAUUAAAGUAAGAGCGCACCGUCCCGAUUGCGAAAUCGGGAGCAGGGUAAACCCCACCCGGAGCAAGAUCAAGCAGAGAAUUGGAAUGGCCCGUUCCCUUGAAUUCUCGGGUAGAUCGCUUAAUCCCGGCUGCAAAGUCGUGGAUAGAUAAAUGACUGUCGUCCGGCAGCUGCCGGAAACAGAAUUCGGCUUAUCGACCAACUUCAGCU